AUUCAUAAAAUGAUCACUGAUUCAAAACAUGAUCGUGCAUUUCAAAAAAUGUUUUUAAUAAAAAAAUAUUCGUCAAUUUCAAUAAUUGUUCCACCAACUUUGAAAAAAUGUCCGUCGAUUCUAGAAAUGUCGCCUAUUCAAGAAAAAUGUUUGCAAAUAGUAUAAAAUGUUCAUGAACUUAAAAAUGUUAAAAAAUCUAUAAAAAUGUUCACAAAAUUGAAAAAUGUUCAUGAUGUCAGGUAUGAUCACGAGUUUAAAAAAAUGUUCAUGAUUUUCAAAAAUUGUUCAUGAUUUCACGAAAAUGAGAGUGAUAGUGUAACUCAGUGAUGCGGCAAAAUAUGGUCAUGUCCAUUGAAUAUUAUGAAAACAAAAUCUCCCGUUGCAACCCACAAGCCAUUUUACGUCCAUGAAACCGAAUGAACCGAAGACUUGUAUGCAUGGAGCCAUCACCCUGUGUUGGUCUUGUGGGCCGCAAGCCCGCAACUGGCGGUGUAAGCCUAUUAUGUGUAGAGUUUAAAAAAAAACGGACUGAACAGUCGGUCGGACAAAAAAACCCGAAACCGGCGGCCUCGAUGGUUUUAUAAGCUAAUAGGACCGUUAUGCAAAUGGACUGGAUAAAACCAGUUGGUUUUUUCCUCAAACCAGAUGGAAAACUGAAACCGUUUGGACCGGUAGCACGUGCUAGCAUCACCGGGAAAAAUGAAAAAUAACUGUGGCUGCUGGGGAUCAAUCCUUGGGCGCUAUGAAACUCACCGACAUCACGAAUUAGGACCAACAGUCGACUCACCAAUCCAACUUAGCUGUCAAAGGAUAGAAACUUAGCAUAUUUGACCUGGUUUACAUUUGUUUAUGGCUUGAAAACCAGCAAAUGAACCGUGAACCGACAGUCCGACCAGUAAAAACCUGAACCGGUGGCAUCACCGGUUCGUUUUUUUUAACUAUGAUUAUGACUAGUCCACAUCAUGAACCAGCUUCCCAAACCGCCGAGGCUGCGCCAACCCGUUCAUUCCUCAUACUACCAUGGAUAAGAGAGCAGGUAGGAACAGAUAAGCAACUCAAGUGACAUUUACAGUACAGGUCAGACGCCUCUUCACUGGGAUGGAUAAUAUUUUCGGGACGAAGUUUAGUUCGGCUGGCAGUACGAAGAAGAAGAAGAGGAAGACGGUUUCAGAAACUCAGAAGCGCGCUCGGUGGCAGUAGGUUGGGCGUUUGAAUCCGCCUCUAGGCUUGCUCGUGAUCCCAACCUAGGGCCAUUUCCAAAAAAUGCAGCACCCACUUAUCUGCUGUGACUGCAUCAGCUUCCCAAUCUUCAGUGCAAUUCAGAAAAAAAAAAAGCAAAUCCAGCUUUUCUUUUGAGAUAGAAGCAAAUUCGUGCAAUCCAAUGCUGAAUAAAAUACGUGUUCAUCAAGCUUGAGAACUAGAAAUAUCAUUUCUUAUGAAUCAAGAGUUUUCAGGUGGUGAGAAAUUGAAAACCAUACUACGUACAUAUAAAAUCUUUUAUCAGGAUUUCCUCAUUCAAAGUGGGUAUCAAAGUGUGAAGAGAUACUAUUGUGAAUUUCAAAAACCUAUACUCAUACACUAACAAAUCUCUAAUUUUUCUUAAAAAUUAUUCGUUAUACAGGCUUAAUCUAGCCCACGGGUCGUGAUUAGUUCAAAUAAUAAACGGGAUAACUCAGCAUUGUCACGUAAUGCUUUCCUCGUACAGAUCGAUUACAGUCUAUAGAAUUGUCACGUAAUGAUCGAUUACAGUUAGUACUUGCGAAGGAACUAAUAACUGCUUCAUUUAUGCUUCCUAACCAAAGAAAUCAAAAACAGAGCUGCCUGCAUUUACGUCCAUGAAACGAGUAGCCUAUUACACAGACUAGUGCCUCGCGAGCGAAACAAACUGCUGGCCAAGAGCAUCUAACCACUCUAUAUCGUCAAUUCAAUGACAUCUCCCUAGUCCUCCAUAGGGCACAAUUCCAGGCCACUUCAUCCAGGGAAGACGAUGCUUUCCUGGUACACUGCAGUUUCCAUCCCUACCAUGUAGUUAUAGACCAUGUUGUUGCCACUAAACACGUCCUCAACAUCACCGGUCAGCGGGUCGUAUGCGCACAACCGGGAGUAGUUAUUCCGAAGUUAUUGUCAGCGAGAGAGAAGGACAUGAUGACGGACGCGGCUUGCCUGCGGCCGCUGCGUGCGACCAUCCGUGCGGCGUGUCCAUCGCACGGCCCUGGCUCCACGGAUGCCCCGCUCCACGCACGCAACGAUUGAUCCUGAUUUUAAGUGAAAAAAAAACAAAAUACACAUCGUAAUACUGAAUGCCUUCUUCAAUACACUUCUAUCCACAUCUUUCCCCUUCUGUCUGAACAGAGCUCGAGCUGAAGCCUUACAACCUACCAUAUCUCAUCCCGUCCCCGCUCGGCUGGUCGCCGCCCGCGUGCGCUUGCCGGACCUGACCGUGCAGCAGCUUGGCCGGCACCGAAGCCCCCAUCGGGGUCGGCCGGACCUGCGUCGCUUGGCUGGCCGCGGCCCAUGUGCGCUUGCCGGACCUAGCCGUGCUGCAGCUUGGCCAGAAUCGGCGCCUAAAUCGACGUCGAGCGGACGGCGGACCAGCGUCGCCACCUAGUGGCGCGGAGGUUGGUGAGCCAGCACGGGGCGACUACACAAGAGGGCGGCGCCUCGGCCUUGUGGAGGAGCUUGGAGGAGGGGUCGAGGGAGCGAGAUGAAGGACGUCGAGGACCGCAGCUAGAGCGCCAUGGAUUUGAUAUGCCCUUGGAGAGGAAGAAGGGGGACGGGGAUGCUUGGAGGGGGAGAGGGACUGCAAUCUUUGUCUCCAGCUCGGGUCGUCAAUUCCGUCCUCAAGAAAGCCGCCGGGCUGCAGUUCGUGUACUCAACAUCACCUACACAGGACACAGAAUGCGGUCACAGAUUCCUGUAGAAGUUCUACAAGGGUGCAGCACACUGCUUUUUCCCGGCCAACACUCUGGAUCGUGUCACAGUUGAUGGAAAGUGGAUCUUUUAGGCAAACAUAUUUGUGUGCACUGCUGGAUGAGAAGUCUCCCGCAAUGGUUCAAAACAAAGAAAUUAGAGAAUUUGCCGCAGAUUCAUCGUCAGAACCGAAUGAGAUUUCUUACUUUUGGUGCAUGAGAUUGUUCGUCAGUGUCCUGGUUCCCUGGAACACUCCUCGGAGAAGUCAUCAGGGAUGCAAGACUCUGAGAAGCCAUCAGGGACGCGGAUUCCUUUGCUGCUCAAUUGAAGAGAAGAGUUUCCUGAUUCCUGGUUAAGCCGCUAUUGAUAAUUGUGCGCUUUAAGGCUGUAAGGUCACUUCCGCCUCAUAUGAGAUGUAGAUCUUGCAUUUUGGCGCCUUUUUGUGUAUUCUGUGGUUCUUUUGGCGGGUAUUGAAGAAGGAAUCAGUAUUACGAUGUGUAUUUUGUUUUUUUUUUAAACUUAAAAUCAGGAUCAAUCGUUGCGUGC